rnacentral:rRNA from 1 species
AUUGAACGCUGGCGGCAUGCCUUACACAUGCAAGUCGAACGGCAGCACGGGUGCUUGCACCUGGUGGCGAGUGGCGAACGGGUGAGUAAUACAUCGGAACGUACCUUAUCGUGGGGGAUAACGCAGCGAAAGUUGCGCUAAUACCGCAUCCGCCCUGAGGGGGAAAGCGGGGGACCGUAAGGCCUCGCGCGAUUAGAGCGGCCGAUGUCUGAUUCGCUUGGUGGUGAGGUAAAAGCUCACCAAGGCGAUGAUCAGUAGCUGGUCUGAGAGGACGAUCAGCCACACUGGGACUGAGACACGGCCCAGACUCCUACGGGAGGCAGCAGUGGGGAAUUUUGGACAAUGGGGGCAACCCUGAUCCAGCAAUGCCGCGUGAGUGAAGAAGGCCUUCGGGUUGUAAAGCUCUUUUGUCAGGGAAGAAACAGCAGCUCUAACACAGUCUGCGAAUGACGGUACCUGAAGAAUAAGCACCGGCUAACUACGUGCCAGCAGCCGCAGUAA